ensembl:lncRNA
AUCCUUCAUCAGUCUGUUGCCUCAGAAUCGUUGUCUGUUGACACAUUCAGCUAUAAGAAUGAUGUCUACGUGGCCAUUUCUGCUCCCAGCACAGAGAGCUGUAUGAUUUUCCAGUGGGACCACAUAGAAAUGAACUUCAGGACUUAUGAUAACAUCACAGGCAGGUAAGAUCAGCAAAACUGCACCAUAGGAUGGUUUAUACUGAUGGCAGCAGCAGCGUUCAGGAGCAGAGGACUGGCUGGUGUCAGAAACACCAACGUUUUAAUCCUCAUCUUUCUGCUGUCCCUGGUUUAUGUCACAAAUUCACUGAUGAAAGUAAGAACAAAGUCACUGCUGAAUUAACUGUUGCUGAAGGUACUUCUAUGAAACAUUUAUUUGCAAAUGUAAAACUACAGUCACUAUGUAACUCAUUAUAAGCAUAUCAGAGUUUAAAUGGACGCAUCCUGUUUUUGUAAAUUUAAAAAAAUUCUGAAAAGUUUCUUAGAACAACUUAGGAAAUCAGAAAAAGCAAAAGCAGCCAGAAGGAAGGCGGGUCAGUCAGUUUCAUCUCUAUUGCAUGUUAUCAGUCAAAUUUGGUCAUGUAGGAAACAACAAAUGCGUAUGAGUCAUGUCAGUGCACACUAAGAGAACUGCAACUCAGUCUGACUGUAGAAGUAAGUUUGACUUAUAUCCCCAUUAAGUUAUUCAUAU